GGAAGAAGUGACUUCGGAAAAGCGCCUCCACAAGUGGGCCGGGGUAUGGUCCCCCGGAUAGGGCUAGGGCUUCCUCCUCUUGAACCCAUGAUGAAUGUGGGAUGCGCUCCUUCCGGGCCCCAGGCAGCUCUUCGCUGCAGCGCAGCGCAGCGCACUCUGAGGAGGAGCAGCGCACUGUGGAGGACGCGGGGCGCCGCUGUCCCUCUGCAGCAGCCUCUGGACGGACGGCGCUCUGGGGAUCACACACCAUCGGGCAAGCUAGGGUGACCUCCCACGGUCCUCACCAGCCGCCCGCGCCAGCCUGCAACCCCACGGGUAGUUUGCGUUGUGGAUGGCACAGGGCAGGCGCAAACUCACCUGGCGCCGGAGCUGCAGCGAGGGACGAGUUCUCAGCCGCGGAAACCACUGUUCUGAAAACAACCCGGAUAUCACAGCCAUCCAAGUAUGGCUUGAGAUAAAACCGAAAUCGAAACUACAUUACGUUUUGACUCACUGUUGCGGUUUUUGCAGUUUCCAAAUUGGCGUCUGCAGCUUCUCGGUACAGCCCUCUCCCCCCGAAAUCAGGUCUUCAGCCUUGUCCCACAGCGCUGCUGGGACUUCACGCAUUCGAAACCAGGCCCAUGGACUUUCCUAAGGAGCCGAGGAACAAAGCCACUUUGUCCGGACACAGUGGGGAGGAUUCCGGCCCGAGGCAGCUGGCUGGGCCGCCUGGAGGCCGGCUUGAGCACUUUGGGGUUGGCGAAGGCAGGAGCGAGACCACUGUUUUCAGAGCACCCUCAGCGAGCUCCCCUUUCGCACAUUUGUCAGGCACUCCCCUUUUUAAAUCCAAGAACCUUUAACCUUGGGACCUGAUACAGGUUUCAGUGUUGGCAUGUGCCACCUCAUGCCCUCUUCAGUCCCAUUUAAAAGGGGAAUAAGUUAUUUUGGAACAAUACUUUUCUUUCCUUGAGAAGCCAAAGUCCUCUCAAAAUCCAAGCUGACAGACUUGCUAUCUGAAGGGGAAGAGAGGGUUUGACCAUACGCCACAUCAGGGGAGAAAGCAGGAUUUCGCACUAGACGUCAGCAUCCCCCUGCCUGUCCUUGGUGCUUUCGAGCAGUGAACACUGUAAUAGAACCAACUUCUCAUCUCUUUCAGUGCUGCCUCUUGGAGGCAGAGACUCACCGCACUCCCCAUUCAGAAAGAACACUGGGGCGAAACCAUCACCUGACACCAGGCUUCCGGACCCUGCAGUGGCUAAUGCCUCUAAGGUCCGCAGCCCCACCCCACCACUUCUUGUGUUUCCUGUAUCUACGGGGAAGAAACCUGCAGCUGUGGGCUGUCGCGAACCUGUUGUGAGUGAGGAGUGAAUGCUGAAUCCUCCAGCCCUGGGUAUCUCAGCCUUUUGCAACUAUUGUUAUUUUUACUUUUCAAUCUUCCGCUUCUUCUUUCAGCCUCUAUUCCGUUCCUUCAGCCAAAGUCCUCAUUGUCUCAAGGCUGAGAAUUGUAGAGAAAGUUCAAGGAAGGCAUUUCAAAAAUGGGACACUCCACCUGCAUAGAAUUAGAUUAAACCAAAAUAAUCGAAUUUAACUUUUUGGGGGAACAACUUUUCUACCACAGGAGGCAACAAAGGCUGAAGAACUAACUUUGUUUAAAUUAUAAAGAAGUUCUGUGUGAUGAAACUUCAGUAUCAUAGUAUAUUUUUAUACACAUGCUCACCAAGAUGGGGACUUGGACACUCUGUCUCAGUCCCUGGAGUUGGAUCUGUGUACACUAGUACUGAACUUUGGAUUUGGAGAAUACCUUGUUUUCCUUAGACAUUCCCACCUAACUAGGAGAUUGAAAAAUAAAAAUAAUAAGAGUUGCAAAAAAGGUGAAGAUAGCCAGACUGGAGGAUUCAUUAUUCACUCCUUUACGUAGGUAUGGUUAAAAAAUGCUUCUUGGAGUUUCUUUUUAAAUUAAGUGUGUUUCUUGUAUGCAGCAUAUUGUUGGAUCUUGCUUCUUGACCCAUUCUGCCAGUCUAUUUCUUUUGAUUGGUGAAUUGAGACCCUUAACAUUGAUGAUUAUUACUGAUAUGUAUUGACAUCAUUGUCAUGACUUUUUCUUUUUGUUGGAUUCUCCCCCUUUACAUUUAAUUUCUUGUCUUGCCUGAUGGAUUCAUUCUGCUGGGCUUCCUGGGGUUGUGAUCCUCGUUGUCUUUUCCUAGGAUAUUGUCUAAAAUAUUUUGGAGUACUGGUUUGGUAUUCAUGAAGUUCCUAAGGUCCUCUUUGUCAUGAAAGUAUCUUGUUUCUCCAUCAAUUUUGAAAGAUAGUUUUGUGGGCUCAUCAAUCUGGGUUGAGGCUGCUUUUCCUUUAGGGCUUGAAAUAUGUCACUCUAUGCUCUUCUUGCCUUGUAGGUUUGUGUUGAGAAGUCUGCUGUGAUAUGCUUUCUAUAUCCUUUUAAAUUCUGUAAAAUCUGUGCUAAUGUCCUUUAAAUCUUGAUAUUGUAAUUUUAAAAAAUGUGUAAUUGAUAUUAUGUAACAGGAAGAAAAGGUCUAAAGGAGUAGGGGAAAGGAGUAGGAGGAGGGAGUAGGAAGGGCAGGGGGGAAAGGAAAGAAGGGAAAAGAAAAAAAUAUGAGAAAAGGAAAAUGGAAACAAAGUCGUAAAUAGGGAAGGAGGGUGAGCAGGGGAAUGGGGAAAAAUAAGAACCAAGAUACAUCAUGUAAAGGUACAAGAUCUCAAUGAUGAAUGUAACUAUUUUAUGCCUAAAAUGUACCAAUAAACUUAAUGGGGAAAAAAAUGCUUCUUGGAGCUGGGGAUUUGGCUCAGUGGUUCCACUGCCUGCCUUGCAAGCACAAGGUCCUGAGUUUGAUCCCUGGUACCAAAAAAAAAAAAGCAAAUGACUGCUAUCAUGAAAUCAACCAAUAACAAAUGCUAUCGGGGUUGUGGGGAAAGAGGAACCCUGCUCCACUGCUGGUGGGAGUGUGAGCUGGUGCAACCAUUGUGGAAAUCAGUAUGGAGAUACCUCAAACAACUAGGACUGGAAGUCCCAUUUGACCCAGCUGUUCCCCUGCUGGGUAUCUUCCUAAAAGAAUUAAAAGAAUCAUACCAUAGCAAUAUAUGUGCACUCAUGUUCAUAGCAGCACAAUUCAUGAUAGCUAAAACUUGGCAACAACCCAAUUGCUCAUCAGCUGGAGACUGGAUAAAGAAAAUGUGUUUUUAAAAAAUAAAAUGGAGUACUAUUCAGCAAAAAAAAAAAAGAGAACUUAGAGACAUUUAUACCUAAAGGGAUGCACACUGAGGCGAUAUUCUUAAGUGAAAUAAAUAGGACGCACAUGUGUAAAUACCAAAUAGUUUCUCUAGUGUGAGAAACUGAAAGUGUAAAUAAGAACUGAAAGGUACAAUAGAUAAUGUGAAAUAGGAAGAAAAGGACCAAAAGAGAAGGGGAAGUGUUAGGGGUAGGGAAGGGGAAGUGUUAGGGGUAGGGAAAAGAAAGAAGGGAAUGGAAUUAAUAUGAGGAAAAUGAAAAA
ensembl:lncRNA